rnacentral:rRNA from 1 species
UACGUAGGGUGCGAGCGUUGUCCGGAAUUAUUGGGCGUAAAGAGCUUGUAGGCGGUCUGUCGCGUCUGCUGUGAAAAUCCGGGGCUCAACCCCGGACUUGCAGUGGGUACGGGCAGACUAGAGUGUGGUAGGGGAGACUGGAAUUCCUGGUGUAGCGGUGAAAUGCGCAGAUAUCAGGAGGAACACCGGUGGCGAAGGCGGUUCUCUGGGCAUGAUCUGACGCUGAGGAGCGAAAGAGUGGGGAGCGAACAGG